rnacentral:rRNA from 1 species
CGGCGUGCUUAACACAUGCAAGUCGAACGGAAAGGCCCUGCUUUUGUGGGGUGCUCGAGUGGCGAACGGGUGAGUAACACGUGAGUAACCUGCCCUUGACUUUGGGAUAACUUCAGGAAACUGGGGCUAAUACCGGAUAGGAGCUCCUGCUGCAUGGUGGGGGUUGGAAAGUUUCGGCGGUUGGGGAUGGACUCGCGGCUUAUCAGCUUGUUGGUGGGGUAGUGGCUUACCAAGGCUUUGACGGGUAGCCGGCCUGAGAGGAUGACCGGCCACAUUGGGACUGAGAUACGGCCCAGACUCCUACGGGAGGCAGCAGUGGGGAAUAUUGCACAAUGGGCGGAAGCCUGAUGCAGCAACGCCGCGUGCGGGAUGACGGCCUUCGGGUUGUAAACCGCUUUCGCCUGUGACGAAGCGUGAGUGACGGUAAUGGGUAAAGAAGCACCGGCUAACUACGUGCCAGCAGCCGCGGUGAUACGUAGGGUGCGAGCGUUGUCCGGAUUUAUUGGGCGUAAAGGGCUCGUAGGUGGUUGAUCGCGUCGGAAGUGUAAUCUUGGGGCUUAACCCUGAGCGUGCUUUCGAUACGGGUUGACUUGAGGAAGGUAGGGGAGAAUGGAAUUCCUGGUGGAGCGGUGGAAUGCGCAGAUAUCAGGAGGAACACCAGUGGCGAAGGCGGUUCUCUGGGCCUUUCCUGACGCUGAGGAGCGAAAGCGUGGGGAGCGAACAGGCUUAGAUACCCUGGUAGUCCACGCUGUAAACGGUGGGUACUAGGUGUGGGGUCCAUUCCACGGGUUCCGUGCCGUAGCUAACGCUUUAAGUACCCCGCCUGGGGAGUACGGCCGCAAGGCUAAAACUCAAAGGAAUUGACGGGGCCCCGCACAAGCGGCGGAGCAUGCGGAUUAAUUCGAUGCAACGCGUAGAACCUUACCUGGGUUUGACAUGGAUCGGGAGUGCUCAGAGAUGGGUGUGCCUCUUUUGGGGUCGGUUCACAGGUGGUGCAUGGCUGUCGUCAGCUCGUGUCGUGAGAUGUUGGGUUAAGUCCCGCAACGAGCGCAACCCUUGUUCACUGUUGCCAGCACGUUAUGGUGGGGACUCAGUGGAGACCGCCGGGGUCAACUCGGAGGAAGGUGGGGAUGACGUCAAGUCAUCAUGCCCCUUAUGUCCAGGGCUUCACGCAUGCUACAAUGGCUGGUACAGAGAGUGGCGAGCCUGUGAGGGUGAGCGAAUCUCGGAAAGCCGGUCUCAGUUCGGAUUGGGGUCUGCAACUCGACCUCAUGAAGUCGGAGUCGCUAGUAAUCGCAGAUCAGCAACGCUGCGGUGAAUACGUUCCCGGGGCUUGUACACACCGCCCGUCAAGUCAUGAAAGUUGGUAACACCCGAAGCCGGUGGCCUAACCGUUGUGGGGGAGCCGUCGAAGGUGGGACUGGUGAUUAGG